rnacentral:rRNA from 1 species
GACGAACGCUGGCGGCGUGCUUAACACAUGCAAGUCGAACGGUGAUGCUCCAGCUUGCUGGAGUGGAUCAGUGGCGAACGGGUGAGUAACACGUGAGCAACCUGCCCCAGACUCUGGAAUAAGCGCUGGAAACGGCGUCUAAUACUGGAUACGAAACUGGCCCGCAUGGGCAUGGUUUGGAAAGUUUUUCGGUUUGGGAUGGGCUCGCGGCCUAUCAGCUUGUUGGUGAGGUAAUGGCUCACCAAGGCGACGACGGGUAGCCGGCCUGAGAGGGCGACCGGCCACACUGGGACUGAGACACGGCCCAGACUCCUACGGGAGGCAGCAGUGGGGAAGAUUGCACAAUGGGCGAAAGCCUGAUGCAGCGACGCCGCGUGAGGGAUGACGGCCUUCGGGUUGUAAACCUCUUUCAGCAGGGAAGAAGCGAAAGUGACGGUACCUGCAGAAGAAGCACCGGCUAACUACGUG